GUUUGAUCAUGGCUCAGAUUGAACGCUGGCGGCAGGCUUAACACAUGCAAGUCGAGCGGUAACAGGAAUAGCUUGCUAUUUGCUGACGAGCGGCGGACGGGUGAGUAAUGCUUGGGAAUAUGCCUUAUGGUGGGGGACAACAGUUGGAAACGACUGCUAAUACCGCAUAAUGUCUACGGACCAAAGGGGGGGAUCUUCGGACCUCUCGCCAUUUGAUUAGCCCAAGUGAGAUUAGCUAGUUGGUAAGGUAAUGGCUUACCAAGGCGACGAUCUCUAGCUGGUUUGAGAGGAUGAUCAGCCACACUGGGACUGAGACACGGCCCAGACUCCUACGGGAGGCAGCAGUGGGGAAUAUUGCACAAUGGGGGGAACCCUGAUGCAGCCAUGCCGCGUGUGUGAAGAAGGCCUUCGGGUUGUAAAGCACUUUCAGUUGUGAGGAAAGGUGUGUAGUUAAUAGCUGCAUACUGUGACGUUAACAACAGAAGAAGCACCGGCUAACUUCGUGCCAGCAGCCGCGGUAAUACGAGGGGUGCAAGCGUUAAUCGGAAUUACUGGGCGUAAAGCGUUCGUAGGCGGUUGAAUAAGCAAGAUGUGAAAGCCCAGGGCUCAACCUUGGAACUGCAUUUUGAACUGUUCGACUAGAGUACUGUAGAGGGGGGUAGAAUUUCA
rnacentral:rRNA from 1 species